UACAGAGGGGGCAAGCGUUGUUCGGAAUUACUGGGCGUAAAGGGCGCGUAGGCGGCCCGCUAAGUCGAACGUGAAAUCCCCGAGCUCAACUCGGGAACUGCGUCCGAUACUGGCGGGCUUGAAUCCGGGAGAGGGAUGCGGAAUUCCAGGUGUAGCGGUGAAAUGCGUAGAUAUCUGGAGGAACACCGGUGGCGAAGGCGGCAUCCUGGACCGGCAUUGACGCUGAGGCGCGAAGGCCAGGGGAGCAAACGGG
rnacentral:rRNA from 1 species